UCUUUUCCAUCAAACCCUAGCUCACUACCUAGCAAAUUAAAGGCCCCCCACCCCCCUUCUCUCUCUCUGUCUCUGUCUCUGUCUCUUUCCCUCUCUCUCAAAAUUUCUAGUCUUGCUCCAAGGAAGGAUCAUGAGUACUGUACAUAUUUUCUUAUCAUGCAUUUGUAGCAGUUGAAGCUGCCAGCAUGAUCUUAACCUCCCUAUUUUGGUUAGGGAAGAUCAGAUCAUGUGGCAGUUUCACCUGUUAUUGGUAGCAUGAGAUCAAACCCUAAUUCCCACAUAAACCUUUGCAAUCCCUAGAUAAAAGCUGCUCGGAAAUGUCAGCUGUUUUGGGGUUGUUAGGGUUUUGAAUGACAGAAACCGUGUGUUUCCACGCAGUUCGAUGAUUUCAAGAUCCUCAACUGGCACUUUGGACAUUGAGCCACUGCUACCGAGCAAACCUGUCGUACUCUUUUUGAUUAUUAGUCAUACGGUCUGCAUCAAGAUUUCAUAUUUGGGGGAUAAUGAGACAAGUUAUUUGUAUUCUGACAAUAAUAUUGGACCAGAUAAGUACAGUACAGGCAGUCAUUUAAAUGCUCACCUUCUCAAAUUGAGAAUAGAAUAUGAAGCCAUAUGGCUUGAAGUGCCACCUUCAGGCUUCAAAAAGACAAAUAUACAAUAUAUAUUUUGAUCACUUCAUAUCAUAUGCAGACCAGACACACAGAUCAAUUCUGGCAAAUUUGGAUUCUCAGUAGAAAUAAUCUGUGAGAUUGGCUGUGUCUGUUUCCUAAGUGUGCAAUGUGAUUGCAAUUGAUGAUGUAAUUUCUCAACUGUGAGCCCAUGUGAAACCCUUCAAUAGUUUCCAAGUUUCAUAGUAUAAAUGUAAUUUACCAUCUCUCUCUCUCUCUCUGAAGAGUCUCUGUAUGUUGGUUGUUGGACUUUGGGCCCUCUCUUUUGAUAGAAUGCAUAAACGGAAAAGAUUCCCAAAGAGUUUUCAGUUUCCCUGAGAAAAUAAAUAAUCUAAAACGUCACUUUCUUUGA